rnacentral:rRNA from 1 species
CCUACGGGAGGCAGCAGUAGGGAAUAUUGCUCAAUGGGGGAAACCCUGAAGCAGCAACGCCGCGUGGAGGAUGAAGGUUUUCGGAUUGUACACUCCUAUUGUUAGGGAAGAAAAUGACGGUAUCUAACGAAUAAGCCCCGGCUAACUACGUGCCAGCCGCCGCGGUAAUACGGAGGGUGCAAGCGUUAAUCGGAUUUACUGGGAGUAAAGAGCGCGUAGGCGGGAUAGCAAGUCAGAUGUGAAAUCCUAUGGCUUAACCAUAGAACUGCUUUGGAAACUGUUAAGCUAGAGUAUGGGAGAGGUAAGUGGAAUUCUUGGUGUAGCGGUAAAAUGCGUAGAGAUCAAGAGGAAUACUCAUGGCGAAGGCGACCUGCUAGAACUUAACUGACGCUGAGGCGCGAAAGCGUGGGGAGCAAACAGGAUUAGAUACCCCUGUAGUC